UCAUACAACAAAGUCACAAUGCACCCGAUGUCAUCAUAUUUUAGCAGCUAAGCAGGUCUUAGCCUGGUUAGUAUUUAGAUGGGUGGCCGUCAGGGCUUGCCCGGUGCUGUAGGCA
rnacentral:rRNA from 1 species